UACGGAGGGGGCUAGCGUUGUCCGAAGUUACUGGGCGUAAAGCGCGCGUAGGCGGGUUGGUAAGUCCGCUGUGAAAGCCCGGAGCUUAACUCCGGAGGGUCGGUGGAUACUGCCAGUCUUGAAGGUGCUAGGGGGAGAUGGAAUUACCGGUGUAGCGGUGAAAUGCGUAGAUAUCGGUAGGAACACCAGUGGCGAAGGCGGUCUGCUGGGCUGUUGCUGACGCUGAGGCGCGACAGCGUGGGGAGCAAACAGG
rnacentral:rRNA from 1 species